AGGCACUGGCGAGAUUCGAACUCAGAAUCUCUUGUUUAUUAGACAGGCGCUUUAUCCAUCUAAGCCACACGGCGUC